rnacentral:rRNA from 1 species
UACGAAGGGGACUAGCGUUGUUCGGAAUCACUGGGCGUAAAGCGCACGUAGGCGGAUUUGUAAGUCAGGGGUGAAAUCCCGGGGCUCAACCUCGGAACUGCCUUUGAUACUGGGGAUCUCGAGUCCGGAAGAGGUUGGUGGAACUGCGAGUGUAGAGGUGAAAUUCGUAGAUAUUCGCAAGAACACCAGUGGCGAAGGCGGCCAACUGGUCCGGUACUGACGCUGAGGCAC